rnacentral:pre_miRNA from 1 species
UCUCCAUUCCUCGCGCUCUCUCAUCGGUCAGGGUGUCGAGAGAGUACGGGAAAUGAAGAGA